CCUGCUGUUCAGUUCACAGGGGCCUGUGUGUGUGGCAACUCUGUCUGGACUCUGUUGACCCUUCUCACUGGUGGCCUGAGGACACAGCCAGCGUGGGAGGACUCUCGGGCCCUCUCAGGGGAGAAGACCAAGGAAAAUGAGGACUCUCUGUGACCUUGGAUUCACAGCAACAAAGAAAAAACUUUGGGGGAAAACAUUUUAAAAGAUAAAACAUUAUAAAAGAUAAAUGAAACAUCAAAUUCUUCUGUGGAACAAAGAAUGCAUCCAAGACAACGAGGAAACCCCAUUACGCGGGAAAAGUUGGAUGGACAAAUUACUUCAAGAAGACUGAAGUGGUGUUCUGCACUCAGGGUCUUCUGAAGAUGGUGUGCCCAAGUAUCUUGCGAGUAGACAUUUUUCAUUUGGGAUGGACACUCUUGUGAGUUUAACAUCGAGGGAACCUAACUA
ensembl:antisense Gm5441 uncharacterized LOC110324243